rnacentral:lncRNA from 1 species
ACCUGGCUAAUUUAGUGGUGUCUAAGGAAAGCAAUGGGAGAACCUCUACCUUACUUACCUAGCCAAUUUGAUUAAACAAUCUUGAUAUUGAAAAACCCUAAUGUUGAAAACACUACUAGGGGCCUUCCUUCAUGUUAGGUUAAUGUUACAUCAUAAACUAUGGCUAGCUUAUUGUGUUACCAUAAGGCUUGUCAUAAGGAUUGAUAUAACAUAAUCCUGGUGCAUAAAAGAUGCUUACGGUAAUUUUGGAUGUAAUGCUUUGUUGUGUUACCAC